UUUCAGAUGCUUGAUGAUGUAUGCCCACCGCAAAGAUCAACUGAUUGUUCAGUAGCUUUAUCAGAAGAAAACAAAAAUAAAAACAGAGAUCAGUCAAUACUAGCAUCGGAUAAAGCUAGACUGUGUUUAUCGAGACCAAAUACAACAGAUUAUAUCAAUGCUUUGCUUAUAUCGAGUUACACAAAGAAGGAUGCUUAUAUAUUGACCCAAACACCCUUACCAAAUACAGUGAUAGAUUUCUGGACGAUGGUUGUAGAACAAGACGUUACUACAAUAGUUAAUAUGGAUAUUACAGAAACAGGAAAGGAUAUUGGACAAUAUAUACCAGCAACUGAUGAACUGAACUGUGGACCAUAUAAUAUAAUCAAACAAGAUGAAACAGACCAUGAGAAUGGUAUUUAUUCAGUCGUUACCUGUUUAAUUAACAGUGAAUUAGAUAACAACUUAAAAAGAAGAAUCAAAAUUUAUCAGUGUAAUUUCUGGAAUCCGAAGAAAGGGGUACCAACUUCUGCCAGUCCAAUAUUUACUAUGUUAGAAGAUAUAAAAACAUGGUCUCAACGAAAUGAAGAUGGGCCUAUCAUAGUUCAUUGUCGCAAUGGUGUAGAGAAGUCGGGUGUAUUCUGUGUUCUAGCAGCUAUAUUAGAAAGAUUAACUAUAGAACAAGAUGUCAGUAUUUUACAGACUUUAGUUCAACUAAGAGUUUCUAGACCUCAGAUUAUAACAUCUUUUAAACAGUUAAAAUUUUGUUUUGAUGCAGUUGGUGAAUAUCUAGAUGGGUUUUCUGUUUAUGCCAAUUCCUGCUAAUAUAUAUCUCAACACCUGUUAAUAUUGCCGCUAAUUCUUGCUAAUGUUUAUAUUAGAGGGUUUAACGUUCUACUGUUCUGCUCCGAACUGGUGGGCUAAUGAAGACGGGCAUAUGCCAUACAGUGUGUUAUGAGGGAAAUUUUGCCCGGACAAAUUCUGCACUACGGCCUACUCUUAUAUCGAAUUCCAACUGUCAAGGGGUAUUUUACGUACACGCCAAUGUGUACACCGGACCUCGGUUUUUCGUCCCAUCCGAAGGACUAGACAACUGUCCUGCAUUCCGGUGAACUUUCUCGGCCAAUGUAGGGAUCGAACACCAGACUUCCAGGCUAGCGAGCCAGCGUCUUAACCACUUCCUUAUCUUGCACACGUGUGGGAUCGAUUCCACGCCGUUUGACUCAACGAAAAGCUUUAAAAUCGCGUAAGACCAAACUAAGCCGAUCUCACCCACCAAGUCCAGACAGAACCGCCAAAACUCUAUCAUAUUUAUGAGAGUUUCCGGCUUUCUUCAUCGAUAUCAGUUCAAUCCAAUUUUGACCUAAUUUUGCUUCGUUAAGCCCAAUUAAUUUACGCCAUAGUGGUACACAUAUGAAUGGAACUUAUAUCAGAUGACAUGAAAAUCAUUUAAAUUUUACGCUAAUAAUUCAUGAUAUUAAUAUCUUCAUCCUCUCCGUUCAAUGUAUAUUUUUUUUUCUAUUGCAUAUUGCUAAUCGAUAAUCAAGACUAUUAUGUUAAGAACAAUCAACCAGUGGAAUUAAUCUGUAUUGAUUAUAGUAAAUAUGUGUAAGACCCACCGCUAAUUCUUGCUAAUGUUUAUAUUAGAGAAACGCAUAAUAUAUUAUUUAUUUUUAUAUGGAGUAUUGUUUUAAAAUAUCAUAUAAUUUAUACACCACAUACAUACAUACAUACAUACAUACAUACAUA